AUGGGGCAAGUGAUGAAUCACAUAUCAGCUAAUGGGUAAUUUGCGGCUGAAGUAUUCCAUUGAUGCUACAACCUUGGAGACCUGAUGCCCUUU